UUCUGGACUUGGCUGGGUGUAUAGAUGUUCAUGUGACAGCAAUCGCUCCAAUUAUCUUCUAUCAUUAAAUGUAUAUGUGCAAGGAACAGCUGAAGAGCUUAAUGAAGAAAAUAAGCCAUGUGAGCACUGCAUGGUAGUAAAACGAUUUAUUGGAAAAAUUGAAGCUGUUGAUGGUUCAUUGCUGGAAGCUGCUAUAGGUAAUCAGGAUGAUGACCAUGAAUAUUUUAAUACAGACAGCAUUUAUGAGUUGCCAUGCAGCAGAAAUGUUGUCUGUUCUUUUGUUCAUGGUAAAUAUUCGUUUGUU